UCAGAAUGUUCCCUGUGUACUUGACCGAAGUUGUUCUGUCCAAAGCCAGCCAGAUACCUGCUAGUGUGAGUAAUGGUCCAGGACAGUUUGGAAAUGGAGAUGACCCGCCUCUGUCAGUCUCAUUUUAGUGAAAAAUAGACCAGCGAUAUCUUGUGGAUUGACACCUGUGUACAGACCACACUUUGAGUAGCCUGUGUUAGAGCUCAGAUGAGAAGUGAUGAGAGCCUGAAACCCAACAGUAGCCCAGCCCCCGGACACUUUUCAUUCAAACGUGUAAAUGCACAGAAGAGAGGAGUUAAUGAUCACUAACCUUUUACCAUCUUGGGAGGAGCGACUUCUGGUGCUAAGUAUCAGGAAACUUCUGAGGGAAUGAUUCCAGGUGCCCUUAGCUCAGGUGAGAAAUCCUAGAAGUGGGCUCCUGCUGGCCUGGAAGAAAGUAAACAUCCAUGCUGUGAAUAGCAUGGGGACCACAUGGCAAGGAAUACCGAUGGCCUCUGGGAGCUGAGUGUGAUCCCCAGAUGACAGCUAGCAAGGAAACGGGGAACGUAUUCCUACGAGGUCAUGAGAAACUGAAUUCUGCCAACAACCCGACUGAGCUUGGAAGGGGACCCCACACCUCAGAUGAGAACUCAGCCUGGCCGGUGCCCUAACUGCAGCCUUG